rnacentral:rRNA from 1 species
UACGAAGGGGGCUAGCGUUGUUCGGAAUUACUGGGCGUAAAGCGCACGAAGGCGGAUUUAUAAGUCAGGGGUGAAAUCCCGGGGCUCAACCUCGGAAUUGCCUUUGAUACUGUCUAUCUUGAGUCCGGGAGAGGUGAGUGGAAUUCCUAGUGUAGAGGUGAAAUUCGUAGAUAUUAGGAAGAACACCAGUGGCGAAGGAGGCUCACUGGCCCGGUACUGACCAUCAUGUGCGAAAGCGUGGGGAGCAAACAGG